CAUAACCAGAGGCAGGUUCAAGCCAAGCCCGAGCCAGCCCUAACUAGGAGCUUCAUCAGAAAGGCAGGUUUUAAGUCUACUCUUAAACGUGGAGAGUGUGCCUGCCUCCCGGACCCAGACAGGAAGACGGAUCCACAGAAGCUGAGGGAAUCUGAGCUGAUAGCUGAGGGAUCGGCCUCCCAGAUUCUCCCAUAUCCCCCACCUACAGUCUCAUCCAGCAACCUAUGCACCCUCACCACCACCUUUGGCAGCCACCAUUCGAUUCUUCCUGCAAACUUCAAACAAAUGACAACCGGAUGCAGCUCCAACUCCCGCUUCAGUCUUUGGCACCCAACCUCGUGGAAGCUGCAACCCCGGCUUUCUCAGAAUGUAUCAAAGCUUACCAGGUAAUCCCCCCCUUGGAGUUCACACUCAAAAAUGAGAGGAUGAGCGCUGUGUUUUGUCAAAGGCACCAUCUACAACCCAGUGCUCGCCAACGGAGCUCGUCCUGUGGAAUGAGGCUGUUUCCAGCUGCGAAAAGUAACACACUGUACGUCUCUGAACAAAUUGUUGAAACAAAAGUCAAACAUUUAUCAAAUGAAUGAAUGGAUAUGGAUGAUUGAAAAACUGGUAAGAAAAGAAAUAAAAAGAAGAGGCAUUUUUAAGAGCUCAUUCCAGUUUGCAUAUGUUGUUCCGCUGGUUUUCACUGAGGCUGUGACAUAUUUGGAUGCUACUAUGAAAAGUUAUUUCUCCACUUGAAUACU